UACGUAGGGGGCAAGCGUUGUCCGGAUUCAUUGGGCGUAAAGAGCGUGUAGGCGGCCAGGUAGGUCGGUUGUGAAAACUGGAGGCUCAACCUUCAGAGGUCGACCGAAACCAUCUGGCUAGAGUCCGGGAGAGGAGAGUGGAAGUUCCUGGUGUAGCGGUGAAAUGCGCAGAUAUCAGGAAGAACACCCGUGGCGAAAGCGGCUCUCUGGAACGGUACUGACGCUGAGACGCGAAAGCGUGGGGGAGCGAACAGG
rnacentral:rRNA from 1 species